GAUGAACGCUGGCGGCGUGCUUAACACAUGCAAGUCGAACGGAGUUAAAAGUGGAAGUUUUCGGAUGGAAGCUUUUAGCUUAGUGGCGGACGGGUGAGUAACGCGUGGGUAACCUGCCUUAUACAGGGGGAUAACAGCUGGAAACGGCUGCUAAUACCGCAUAAGCGCACAGUGCUGCAUGGCACAGUGUGAAAAGAUUCAUCGGUAUAAGAUGGACCCGCGUCUGAUUAGCUAGUUGGUGGGGUAAUGGCCUACCAAGGCAACGAUCAGUAGCCGGCUUGAGAGAGUGAACGGCCACAUUGGGACUGAGACACGGCCCAAACUCCUACGGGAGGCAGCAGUGGGGAAUAUUGCACAAUGGGGGAAACCCUGAUGCAGCGACGCCGCGUGAGUGAAGAAGUAUUUCGGUAUGUAAAGCUCUAUCAGCAGGGACGAAAGGGAGGCAACUCCUGUGACGGUACCUGACUAAGAAGCCCCGGCUAACUACGUG
rnacentral:rRNA from 1 species